GGAAUAUUGGACAAUGGGGGGAACCCUGAUCCAGCCAUGCCGCGUGUGUGAAGAAGGCCUUUUGGUUGUAAAGCACUUUAAGCGAGGAGGAGGCUACUCUAGUUAAUACCUAGAGAUAGUGGACGUUACUCGCAGAAUAAGCACCGGCUAACUCUGUGCCAGCAGCCGCGGUAAUACAGAGGGUGCGAGCGUUAAUCGGAUUUACUGGGCGUAAAGCGUGCGUAGGUGGCCAAUUAAGUCAAAUGUGAAAUCCCCGAGCUUAACUUGGGAAUUGCAUUCGAUACUGGUUGGCUAGAGUAUGGGAGAGGAUGGUAGAAUUCCAGGUGUAGCGGUGAAAUGCGUAGAGAUCUGGAGGAAUACCGAUGGCGAAGGCAGCCAUCUGGCCUAAUACUGACACUGAGGUACGAAAGCAUGGGGAGCAAACAGGAUUAGAUACCCUAG
rnacentral:rRNA from 1 species